GAUGAACGCUGGCGGCGUGCCUAAUACAUGCAAGUCGAGCGAACAGACGAGGAGCUUGCUCCUCUGACGUUAGCGGUGGACGGGUGAGUAACACGUGGAUAACCUACCUAUAAGACUGGGAUAACUUCGGGAAACCGGAGCUAAUACCGGAUAACAUGUUGAACCGCAUGGUUCAACAGUGAAAGACGGUCUUGCUGUCACUUAUAGAUGGAUCCGCGCCGCAUUAGCUAGUUGGUAAGGUAACGGCUUACCAAGGCAACGAUGCGUAGCCGACCUGAGAGGGUGAUCGGCCACACUGGAACUGAGACACGGUCCAGACUCCUACGGGAGGCAGCAGUAGGGAAUCUUCCGCGAUGGGCGAAAGCCUGACGGAGCAACGCCGCGUGAGUGAAGAAGGUCUUCGGAUCGUAAAACUCUGUUAUUAGGGAAGAACAAAUGUGUAAGUAACUAUGCACGUCUUGACGGCACCUAAUCAGAAAGCCACGGCUAACUACGUGCCAGCCGCCGCGGUAA
rnacentral:rRNA from 1 species